GACGAACGCUGGCGGCGUGCCUAAUACAUGCAAGUAGAACGCUGAAGGAGGAGCUUGCUUCUCUGGAUGAGUUGCGAACGGGUGAGUAACGCGUAGGUAACCUGCCUGGUAGCGGGGGAUAACUAUUGGAAACGAUAGCUAAUACCGCAUAACAGUAGAUGUUGCAUGACAUUUGCUUAAAAGGUGCAAUUGCAUCACUACCAGAUGGACCUGCGUUGUAUUAGCUAGUUGGUGGGGUAACGGCCCACCAAGGCGACGAUACAUAGCCGACCUGAGAGGGUGAUCGGCCACACUGGGACUGAGACACGGCCCAGACUCCUACGGGAGGCAGCAGUAGGGAAUCUUCGGCAAUGGACGGAAGUCUGACCGAGCAACGCCGCGUGAGUGAAGAAGGUUUUCGGAUCGUAAAGCUCUGUUGUAAGAGAAGAACGAGUGUGAGAGUGGAAAGUUCACACUGUGACGGUAUCUACCAGA
rnacentral:rRNA from 1 species